AGGGUUUGAUCAUGGCUCAGAUUGAACGCUGGCGGCAGGCUUAACACAUGCAAGUCGAGCGGAAACGAAAGUAGCUUGCUACUAGGCGUCGAGCGGCGGACGGGUGAGUAAUGCUUAGGAAUCUACCAAGUAGUGGGGGAUAGCCAUUGGAAACGAUGAUUAAUACCGCAUAUAUCCUACGGGGGAAAGCAGGGGAUCUUCGGACCUUGCGCUAUUUGAUGAGCCUGAGUGAGAUUAGCUAGUUGGUGGGGUAAAGGCCUACCAAGGCGACGAUCUCUAGCUGGUCUGAGAGGAUGAUCAGCCACACUGGGACUGAGACACGGCCCAGACUCCUACGGGAGGCAGCAGUGGGGAAUAUUGCACAAUGGACGAAAGUCUGAUGCAGCCAUGCCGCGUGUGUGAAGAAGGCCUUCGGGUUGUAAAGCACUUUCAGCGAGGAGGAAAGGUUAGUAGUUAAUAACUGCUAGCUGUGACGUUACUCGCAGAAGAAGCACCGGCUAAUUUAGUGCCAGCAGCCGCGGUAAUACUAAAGGUGCAAGCGUUAAUCGGAAUUACUGGGCGUAAAGCGCGCGUAGGUGGUUUGUUAAGUUGGAUGUGAAAGCCCAGGGCUCAACCUUGGAACUGCAUUCAAAACUGACUCACUAGAGUACGAGAGAGGUUAGUGGAAUUUCCUGUGUAGCGGUGAAAUGCGUAGAGAUGGGAAGGAACACCAGUGGCGAAGGCGACUGACUGGCUCGAUACUGACACUGAGGUGCGAAAGCGUGGGGAGCAAACGGGAUUAGAUACCCCGGUAGUCCACGCCGUAAACGAUGUCUACUAGCCGUUGGAGGACUUGAUCCUUUAGUGGCGCAGCUAACGCGAUAAGUAGACCGCCUGGGGAGUACGGUCGCAAGAUUAAAACUCAAAUGAAUUGACGGGGGCCCGCACAAGCGGUGGAGCAUGGUGAUA
rnacentral:rRNA from 1 species